UCUCACGUUAAACUCUUUCAUCUUCUCAGUUCUCACAAUAGUUUUUCUAUUAUUCUCUGUUUCAGACUUAUGGAUUCAACUAUUUCUCUGUUCUUUAAAUGAUAAUCCACAUUUUUAUUGGUUCUUACAUGGUUUUAAACUCACACAUGGUGCUAACAUGGUUUGGAGAUCAAUGAAUAUAACUAACCUUAUGUUUUCUUGUGUAGUUGC
rnacentral:lncRNA from 1 species